rnacentral:tRNA from 1 species
UAGAGGGUGGCCGAUCCGGGUAAGGCGCUGUGUGAAGCGCAGUUAUGUAGGUUCAAAUCCUGCCCCUCUAC